GAGGGUAUAGUCUAGUGGUAGAGUGUGUGCCUAAAAUACACAAGGUCCUGGGUUCAAUCCCCAGCACCUCCA
rnacentral:tRNA from 1 species